UCACACAUCAGCCUGGUGCCUCAGU
rnacentral:miRNA from 1 species